UACAGGAUGUUUGCUGUGGCAGAGAACAAAGUGAGAAGGAGAAGAAUAUCUCCUUUCUUCAUGUUUGACAUUUUACCUAGUGUUCUCUCAUAGAUGACCUUUCAGUGAACUGCAAGAACUUUUGACUGUACUUGGUUUACCAUCUGUAAUAAUAGUAAUAACAACAAUAACAGUAACCAUAAUAACCACCAACAAACCAAAGCAGAGAGUAUCAACCUCCCUUUUGCUGCCAUCCACUCUCUACAGACUGCUGCUCUGUCGGGUGCCCUACAAGUUCCCUGCAUCUCCAGUUUCAAGUAGUCUGAAAGAAUUUCUUGCAGGUUCUCUUAGAAUACUCCUUGGACUUGCUGAAAGGUAACUUAAAGAAUUUUAGUUUUAAACCACAAUAAUUCACAAAGAAUCUUCAGCAUGAGAGAAGAAGCACAGCAGAAUUAUAAACAUAUGAUGGAAGUGAAAGCAAAACUAUUACAUUUGUGAGCAGUGCCAGGUGAGGAGCGGCAGGAAGAGCCCUGAAGAAUUCAGAAUAAUCUCAUCACGGUGAAGCAACGUCCCUCCUCAGUUUUGAAGGCCACAUGAUACAUGAACACUUGCUAACCACCCAAUACAGUGGGAAAUUAUGUUACAGUGACUAUCUUAUCUGUAGUUUUUAAAUGAAAAUUUCCCAUGUGUAAAGUUCAAUACAUGGAGGCUUUUAAGGAACUGUUUCUAAUGCAGGAGAACUCAACACUUAUCACAUCAAGGCUUUUAAAAAUAUCUCCUUUUAGGAAAAGAAGCAGUAAUUUAAAAGCUCUUUAGCCUUCAAUUACCCAGGGGUGUGCUAACAUGGUUUAACAUGUGCUAGCAUGGUUUAAGCUGGAGAUGUCUUGUGGCUCUGUGAGAUGUUUUGUGGAAAAACCCAAAGAGAGAAAUGUUGACUGGGUUAUAUAUAUGGGAAUAUUUCAGCACUCUGCGCUCCCCGGAUGUAAAUAAAUGCAGUAAUAGGAUAAGACACCUCCAAGUCCCUAAAGAUAAUUGGAAUCUGACCUCUUCUCAGGGAAUACUGCAGGAUGUAGCCGUGGCUUAAUGGUAUGAAAGAGUGUGAAGCUGCUUUCUCACAA